AAUAAAGUUUACGAGGAAUAAGCUCGAUUGCUAAUAUUUUAUAUCGAGGUAAGUUCAUAUGAUUUUUAAUAAUGCAAUGUGUAAUUUAAUGUUUUGAAAUGAAAAUUUCAUGAAUGAUAUAGUAUAUUAUUGCAUAUAAAAUGUCAUUAAACUGUGAUAAUUGUAAAAUGAUAUUUGAAUAAAAGUACAAAUUAAAUGGAACAACGGACUUGAGUACUUUCAUUCAGUGGCUAAGACGAAUUGACGGAAAAGACCAUGGUUGGACCAUGGCAGCAUGUGAAAUGUGAUUUCCGUAUAAGACCAUAGCUGGGCUAUGGCUUCGGAGAAAUGUGAUAUGUGCUUCCGUAUAAGACCAUAUCCGGGAUAUGGCAUCGGUGUGAUAUGUGCUACUGUAUAUCUGGGAUAUGGCAUCAGUGUGAUAUGUGAUCCGUGUAAGACCAUGGCUGGGCUAUUGCCUCGGUAUGUGAUAUAUGACUAUGUGCAAGACCAUAGUUUUACUAUGGCAUUGUGAUAAUGAGUUUUAAUAAGCCAGCUAGGAAAUCGGGAACGGUCGGAGGCCCACUCACACUAUCCGUAUACCAUCUUGGCGUAAUGGCUUGUAUAUUUUGAGUAUGGAUGUAUAGCAUUAUAAUCAUUUUGUAUAUAUGGUCUUAUGAUAUGGAUAUUGAGUGGUAUGGAAAUGUUUGGUAAUGAUUAGCCAUUGGAAUGGCUAAUCAUGAUCAUAUUUGGUGUUAUAUAUGCUAAAUUGCUAGCUAAUCCAUGGAAACCAUGAAAUAGGCAAAAUUUACCAUAAAAUAGAUCCAGAUAGCAGCAGUGAUGUGAGUUUGAAAAAUCAUUAAAAAUAGUAGAGAUACAAUUAGAUGAUGAAUAAAAUAUGGAAUUGAAGAA